UAUGGGAUUUUUUUUAAAUAGCUCCCUGACAAUAUUUUUUUUUAAAUUAGCCAUGUCAAAAAUUUAUUUGUAAAAAUGACUCUGGCCCUGUCAUGCAAGUGCCACAUCAGCACCACGCGGGCGAGGCUGGGGUCAGGUGUUUAAGUUGAACACAGUGAACAAUAUACGGUGAAUGGUUCGCCGUGUCCAGUGGAUAUAUCUGGCUAUUUUUUGGCUAAAUCCGGGGUAUUUGUAUUGGACACGAUGAACCAUUCACCGUAUCCAAUACAAAUAACCCGGACUUGGCAAAGUUUAAGUAUUUGUAUUAGACACGGUGAAUGGUUCACCGUAUCCAACACAAAUACCCGGACUUAGCCAUUUUAGCCCCGGAUAUACGCAUUGGACACGGCGAAUUAUUCACCGUGUUUGAACACGGUGAAUGGUUUACCGUGCUCAACUUAAACACCUGGCCCCAGCCCCGGCCGCGUGGCGCUGAUGUGGCGCUUGUGUGGCAGGGUCAGAACCAUUUUUGCAAAUAAAUUUUUGAUAGGGCUAAUUUAAAAAAAAAAAUUUGUCAGGAGGCUAUUUGUAAAAAAAGUCCCAUAAAUAUACUUACCUUUUUCUUUUGCAAUUACCCUACAAACAAAUACCAAGUUUUUUUAUUUUAUAAUUUUCUCUUCAAUUACUUU
rnacentral:lncRNA from 1 species